UACGUAGGGUGCGAGCGUUAAUCGGAAUUACUGGGCGUAAAGCGUGCGCAGGCGGUUGUGCAAGGCCGAUGUGAAAUCCCCGGGCUUAACCUGGGAAUGGCAUUGGUGACUGCACGGCUAGAGUGUGUCAGAGGGGGGUAGAAUUCCACGUGUAGCAGUGAAAUGCGUAGAUAUGUGGAGGAAUACCGAUGGCGAAGGCAGCCCCCUGGGAUAACACUGACGCUCAUGCACGAAAGCGUGGGGAGCAAACAGG
rnacentral:rRNA from 1 species